rnacentral:lncRNA from 1 species
ACUGCUCAGGGGGAAUUCAGGGACGAGAAACUUAAUGGCUGCAGUUUUAUAGUCUUUAUCAGACCAUCGAGGCUGUAAUCAGAAGAUAAGAGUUAUCAUCCGUCAUCUCAAUCAAGUUUCAAGAGAAAAUCAUUGCAAGACAGCCUCUGGGAGCUGCUGCUACUUCUUCCAACCUGCUGAACCACAUUCAAUCCAGGUAAUCACCCUUUUUCUUCUUAAAGUUAUGAACAGCCUCCCCUUCCUGGGGAAACGCAUUUACUCAUUACAUUGUGACUGUCCCUGUGACUGGGGAAUGUUCCUGUGGACACAGGGCUGUGGGGCUGAGGUCAGAGCAGUCCUCCAGGGCUGGAAAUUAGAGUGUGGGAAGUGGAAUUGUCCCUAGAGAUAAAGAAUCACAAGUAAUUCCCAAUCUGUGCUCACUCUUAAAUGAGGGGCCUCUUCAGAACCAGCCCAUCAGAGCAGUGAGACAAAUGAUGGUUGUUCUUCUUCCCUGACACUGCAAAAUUCUCUGGGGUUCUGGGAGCUGAGCUGAGCAGUUCUGAAAUGUGAGGAAGGAGCCAGCGUUUGUUCAAGGUUUUGUUCCUUCCAGAUACAACUUUCAUCUGAGUUCUUUCAUGAGACUGUCAGACCAGGGCCAAAUCCUCAUCUGUAAAAUCUGAGAGGGCCCCGUUUGUUUCAAGGGAUCUGCACCCCUCAGUCUGUGGGGUUCCCUGGAAGGAGCCAGUGGGAAUGCAGGGAUGGUGAGGGUGGAGCAGCAGCGCUGGGAUGUGGAAGGUUCUAGAGGCUGCAGGUGAGCAGGGUCCCCUUUGCUCUCCUACAGUUUCUCUCCAGGUGGCACAUUGGACUGCCACCAUUGUAAGCACAGUGACCAAUUUUCUGGAUAUCCCUUUUUGGAAAAAGAUGGGCUGGGGGAAUCUUGAUGCCAUUUGAUGGAUUUCCUGCAUCACAGUGUGAGUCAUUAAUCACAUUUGUACCUUCAAGAAGGAAAUAUUAACUGGGAUAAACUGGGAUACUCUGUAUUCUGGUAGAUUUCAGAUUUAUUUGCUUUAUUCAUAAAGUAGAGCUGCAAAUAAGUACUUGCAUAUUUCUAAAUGACUUACACUUAAAUAUAGCCACAAUCUGAUGUAAACUGGCAAAAUUCCCUUAGUUAAAUGGAUUCACUCCAGCUUGCACCAGGAGGAUUAGGCCCUGAGAUUCAAGCAAGCCCUGUUGUGAUGACCAUGAAAAAAACUCAGAUUGAAGAUAAGUUGGGAAGCAAUCAAACCAAAUCAUAAGCCUGUCUGAUUUAAUUUGUUUUUCUGGCAAGCCAUGGAUUUCUGAGAAUACAACCUUGUUGCAAUGUGUGUUGCACCAAAUCCUUCAGCUGAUGAGCCCAUUGCCAC